rnacentral:lncRNA from 12 species
AGCCCCAACCCUUGCCCCCAGUGCCCAGGCUGCCCGCCUGCGGGCUGAGACCUCGAGAACCCCAACAACGAGCACAGGUCCCGGUAAAAUCUGCCCUGCGAAAAAUAUGAAGUCGCGACAGGUCGGUCUGCGGGUGAAGGCUGCUCUAGCAGAAACGCGAGAAGUGAGCGGGAGCCCACAAUUUUCGUUUUUACUGUAGAAGUCGGUCAACGAAAUCAAAUGGUAAUGGUUACCUAUUACAGCCGCUUUAAAGUUUGAAAUAAUUUAAUGUAUUUCGGAUUUAUAUGUAUGUAAUCACCAUACUUUUUAUUUUGUCUAGCUAUUUCCAUUAAGUUUUAAUAAGCUAGUAAAGCUCCCUGGAUAAAUUUUGUGAGUUUUCUUUUUUUUUUUUUUUU